rnacentral:rRNA from 1 species
GACGAACGCUGGCGGCGUGCUUAACACAUGCAAGUCGAGCGGAAAGGCCCUUCGGGGUACUCGAGCGGCGAACGGGUGAGUAACACGUGAGUAACCUGCCCCAGACUUUGGGAUAACCCUCGGAAACGGGGGCUAAUACCGGAUACGACACAGCUUCGCAUGGGGUCUGUGUGGAAAGUUUUUCGGUUUGGGAUGGGCUCGCGGCCUAUCAGCUUGUUGGUGGGGUGAUGGCCUACCAAGGCGACGACGGGUAGCCGGCCUGAGAGGGCGACCGGCCACACUGGGACUGAGACACGGCCCAGACUCCUACGGGAGGCAGCAGUGGGGAAUAUUGCACAAUGGGCGGAAGCCUGAUGCAGCGACGCCGCGUGAGGGAUGACGGCCUUCGGGUUGUAAACCUCUUUCAGCAGGGACGAAGCGUAAGUGACGGUACCUGCAGAAGAAGCGCAGGCCAACUACGUG